rnacentral:rRNA from 1 species
CCACUUUGUCUUCAGAACAUUGAGCACCAAAGCUUCACUCAGCCUAUUGAAGGUGUUCAAGCAGCAACAAGAUUCUAUCCACUGGCUGGUAACACUCGUCUGCCACACAGAGCGCCCACUGAAGCCACUGAAAGCACCAUUGCGCAAAGGCCUCGGAAGCGUUCUCGUGUUCUCAAUGACCGAGAGCUUCUUGUGGCUCUUCAUCAGAAGCAGGAUAAGCAUCAUUUCUGGCUCAAGCGCCAAAUGCAAAGCCUCUUGGUGGUUGUCAAUCGCAUUCGCAACCUUGCCACCAAGAAUGCCUUUGUUGCUCAUGAAACUUGCCGAAGAUCAUGGAAGAGUUUGACCCUGCUCAGUGCUGAAGCUGAUCUUCAAGAUGAUGGCUUCAAUGAAAGAUUCCAG